GGCUGUGCUGUAGCUCAGUUGGUAGAGCACUUGCUUAGCAUGCACAAGGUCCUGGGUUCGAUCCCCAGCAGCCU